UACGGAGGGAGCUAGCGUUGUUCGGAAUUACUGGGCGGAAAGCGCACGUAGGCGGCUAUUCAAGUCAGAGGUGAAAGCCCGGGGCUCAACCCCGGAACUGCCUUUGAAACUAGGUAGCUAGAAUCUUGGAGAGGUCAGUGGAAUUCCGAGUGUAGAGGUGAAAUUCGUAGAUAUUCGGAAGAACACCAGUGGCGAAGGCGACUGACUGGACAAGUAUUGACGCUGAGGUGCGAAAGCGUGGGGAGUAAACAGG
rnacentral:rRNA from 1 species